GAUGAACGCUGGCGGCGUGCCUAAUACAUGCAAGUCGAGCGAACAGACGAGGAGCUUGCUCCUCUGACGUUAGCGGCGGACGGGUGAGUAACACGUGGAUAACCUACCUAUAAGACUGGGAUAACUUCGGGAAACCGGAGCUAAUACCGGCUAAUAUAUUGAACCGCAUGGUUCAAUAGUGAAAGACGGUUUUGCUGUCACUUAUAGAUGGAUCCGCGCCGCAUUGGCUAGUUGGUAGGGUAACGGCUUACCAAGGCAGCGAUGCGUAGCCGACCUGACAGGGGGAAGCGCGACACAGGAACUGACACACGGCACAGACACCGACGGACGGCAGCAGUAGGGACGGGUCGGCGAAGGGCGAAAGCUUGACGGAGGAACGCAGCGGGGAUGAAGAAGCGCUUCGGAUCGGAAAACGCUCUUAUGAGUGAAGACCAAAUUUGUAAGUAACGAUGCACGUCUUGACGGUACCGAAGCAGAAAGCCCCGGCUAACUACGU
rnacentral:rRNA from 1 species